rnacentral:lncRNA from 1 species
GCGCAGCGGAAGCGUGCUGGGCCCAUAACCCAGAGGUCGAUGGAUCGAAACCAUCCUCUGCUAUCGGAGUUUUUUCAUUGCCCUGUACGGCAUACGUAAUCUACGUUUCUUUAGUGAAGGAAAAUAUCUUGCCAAUUUUCCUACCUCAAAAAUGCAACCAAUAUCAGCUAUUUUUGCCACUAGCAGUUGAAGUUGAUGGGGAAAAGGGAGUUUAGGCAACUAUGAACACUGCACGUCUAC